rnacentral:rRNA from 1 species
AAACAUGUCUUUUUGAUUUAUAUUUAAAGUCUGACCUGCCCACUGAAUAAUUUUAAAUGGCCGCAGUAUUUUGACUGUGCAAAGGUAGCAUAAUCAUUAGUCUUUUAAUUGGAGGCUGGUAUGAACGGUUGGACGAGGUAUAAGCUGUUUCAUGUAAAUUUAUAAUAGAAUUUUAUAUUUUAGUUAAAAAGCUAAAAUUUAGUUAAAAGACGAGAAGACCCUAUAAAUCUUUAUAAUUAAUAUUCAUUGAAUUUUUUUGAUUUGUUUUAUUUUUUUUUUAUUGAUUAUUUUGUUGGGGUGAUGUUAAAAUUUAAUGAACUUUUAAUUUUUAAAAUCAUUAAUUUAUGAUUUAUUGAUCCGUUAAUAAUGAUUAUAAGAUUAAGUUACUUUAGGGAUAACAGCGUAAUUUUUUUUGAGAGUUCAUAUCGACAAAAAAGUUUGCGACCUCGAUGUUGGAUUAAGGUAUAAUUUUGGGUGUAGCUGUUCAAAAAUUAAGUCUGUUCGACUUUUAAAUCCUUAC